UACGGAGGGUGCAAGCGUUAAUCGGAAUUACUGGGCGUAAAGCGUGCGCAGGCGGUUUGUUAAGUCCGGUGUGAAAGCCCCGAGCUCAACUUGGGAAUUGCAGUGGAUACUGGCAGGCUGGAGUACGGUAGAGGAAGGUGGAAUUCCCGGUGUAGCAGUGAAAUGCGUAGAUAUCGGGAGGAACACCAGUGGCGAAGGCGGUGGUCUGGGCCGGAACUGACGCUGUAGAGCGAAAGCGUGGGGAGCGAACAGG
rnacentral:rRNA from 1 species